rfam:Canis lupus familiaris chromosome 1, whole genome shotgun sequence.
AGGAGGAACAGCCCCAGUGGCGGGGCCAGCUCUGGAAACCUGGAUUCAGCUCCGGCAGGAACUCCGGAGGUCUCUGUCUGCAGGGCCUGGAGGCUCCGGGGCGGG